rnacentral:rRNA from 1 species
AGGUAAAUCCGCUGUGCAUUUUGGGUGAGACGUGAUGCGUACCCGUAGUGGGGAAGUUGGUGAUCCUAUGCUGUCGAGAAAAGCCUCUAGCGAGUGGUACUUCGGCCCGUACCGAUAACCGACACAGGUAGUUAGGUAGAGAAUACCAAGGCGAUCGAGAGAACUGUGGUUAAGGAACUCGGCAAAAUGCCCCCGUAACUUCGGGAGAAGGGGGGCCUGAGGGGUGAAGCCACUUGCUGGCUAGCCCUUUUGGGCCGCAGAGACCAGGGAGAAGCGACUGUUUACUAAAAACACAGGUCCGUGCGAAGUCGCAAGACGAUGUAUACGGACUGACGCCUGCCCGGUGCUGGAAGGUUAAGAGGACGGGUCAGCUCACCUUUGGUGGGCGAAGCUCAGAAUUUAAGCCCCAGUAAACGGCGGUGGUAACUAUAACCA